rnacentral:misc_RNA from 1 species
UACGUAGGGCGCAAGCGUUGUCCGGAAUUAUUGGGCGUAAAGAGCUCGUAGGCGGUUUGUCGCGUCUGCCGUGAAAGUCCGGGGCUCAACUCCGGAUCUGCGGUGGAUACGGGCAUGCUUGAGGUAGGUAGGGGAGACUGGAAUUCCUGGUGUAGCGGUGAAAUGCGUAGAUAUGUGGAGGAACACCAGUGGCGAAGGCGACUCUCUGGUCGGUUUCUGACGCUGAGGUGCGAAAGCGUGGGUAGCAAACAGG